rnacentral:rRNA from 1 species
AUUGAACGCUGGCGGCAGGCCUAACACAUGCAAGUCGAGCGGUAACUUCGGUUCUAGCGGCGGACGGGUGAGUAAUGCGUAGGAAGCUACCCGACAGAGGGGGAUACCAGUUGGAAACGACUGUUAAUACCGCAUAAUGUCUACGGACCAAAGUGUGGGACCUUCGGGCCACAUGCUGUCGGAUGCGCCUACGUGGGAUUAGCUAGUUGGUGAGGUAAUGGCUCACCAAGGCGACGAUCCCUAGCUGGUUUGAGAGGAUGAUCAGCCACACUGGAACUGAGACACGGUCCAGACUCCUACGGGAGGCAGCAGUGGGGAAUAUUGGACAAUGGGCGCAAGCCUGAUCCAGCCAUGCCGCGUGUGUGAAGAAGACCUUCGGGUUGUAAAGCACUUUCAGUAGGGAGGAAGGGGUUGUAGUUAAUAGCUGCAACUUUUGACGUUACCUACAGAAUAAGCACCGGCUAACUCUGUGCCAGCCGCCGCGGUAACAC